CCCUAGUAUAAAAAAUUUAUAGGAUUAAUAUGUAAAGAAAUUUAAAAUUUUUGGCGGUAAAUUAUUAAUUAGAGGAGCUUGUUAUACAAUAGAAAUUACUCUUUAGAUUUAAAUAAUUUUUGUUUAUUUAUCUCCGUUAUUAGAUGAAGAUUGAACAUAGUAUACACUAAUAUUUCAGGUCAAGAUGUAGCAAAAGUUAUGUUUAAAUUAGCUACAAUUAUUAAGUAAUGAAUUUUUAUUUAUAAUAGAAAAUGAAAUUGAAUUUAACUGUAGUGUUUUUUAGAAAAAAAAUAUGAAAGUGUGUAAUUUAUGUA
rnacentral:rRNA from 1 species